rnacentral:rRNA from 1 species
CGAGGGCAAACAAUGCAGUCGAGCGGUAACAUUUCUAGCUUGCUAGAAGAUGACGAGCGGCGGACGCGUGAGAAAUGCUUGGGAAUAUGCCUUAGGGUGGGGGACAACAGUUGGAAACGACUGCUAAUACCGCAUAACGUCUACGGACCAAAGGGGGCUUCGGCUCUCGCCCUUAGAUUAGCCCAAGUGGGAUUAGCUAGUUGGUGAGGUAAUGGCUCACCAAGGCGACGAUCCCUAGCUGGUUUGAGAGGAUGAUCAGCCACACUGGAACUGAGACACGGUCCAGACUCCUACGGGAGGCAGCAGUGGGGAAUAUUGCACAAUGGGCGCAAGCCUGAUGCAGCCAUGCCGCGUGUGUGAAGAAGGCCUUAGGGUUGUAAAGCACUUUCAGUAAGGAGGAAAGGUUAGUAGUUAAUACCUGCUAGCUGUGACGUUACUUACAGAAGAAGCACCGGCUAACUCCGUGCCAGCAGCCGCGGUAAUACGGAGGGUGCGAGCGUUAAUCGGAAUUACUGGGCGUAAAGCGUACGCAGGCGGUUUGUUAAGCGAGAUGUGAAAGCCCCGGGCUCAACCUGGGAACUGCAUUCCGAACUGGCAAACUAGAGUAUGAUAGAGGGUGGUAGAAUUUCAGGGUGUAGCGGUGAAAUGCGUAGAG